rnacentral:rRNA from 1 species
UAAGAGGUCCCGCCUGCCCCGUGACCAUGAGUUUAACGGCCGCGGUAUUUUAACCGUGCGAAGGUAGCGCAAUCACUUGUCCUUUAAAUGGAGACCAGUAUGAAUGGCAAGACGAGGGCUUAACUGUCUCCUCUUUCAAGUCAAUGAAAUUGAUCUCCCCGUGCAGAAGCGGGGAUAUACACAUAAGACGAGAAGACCCCGUGGAGCUUUAGACACCAAGACAACUCAUGUUAAGGACCCCUAAACAAAGGGCUGAACUUAGUGAAACCUUGAUCUGAUGUCUUUGGUUGGGGCGACCACGGGGAGAGAAAAAACCCCCACGUGGAAUGGGAGCACUGCUUCCCCCACAACUAAGAGCGACAGCUCUAAGCAACAGAACAUCUGACCUUAAGAUCCGGCUCUUUCUGCCGAUCAACGAACCGAGUUACCCCAGGGAUAACAGCGCAAUCCCCUUUUAGAGCCCAUAUCGACAAGGGGGUUUACGACCUCGAUGUUGGAUCAGGACAUCCUAAUGGUGCAGCCGCUAUUAAGGGUUCGUUUGUUCAACG